CAACCACACAGAACCCCACAAAAGCCCCCCUCCCCAGAGACCACCUCUGAAGAGCUGGGGCAAACCACCUAUCUAGUCUGGACGCCCACUGAGGACAUUCACCUCAUCACGACUUAGGAUUCGAAUGAUAUCACCUCAACUGGUCAGCUGCCCUAUUCUGCUAAAAAGAAACAUCACUCAGUAUGAGUGUUGCCAAAGAUGUCUACACACAAAAAUGGGGAAGGCGGCUCAAGAACGAAUCAGAAAAGUAGGGAUCUCCUACCCGGUAUCAAUGAACGCGUCUUUGAGAACCGUCUGUGGACCACCCAUCAGUUUUGCCUCCCGGAGGAGAGAGGUGAGGAUUUCUCCAGGGCGCCCACUAAAGGUCGUGCCCUCCACAAACCUUCCCGCAAGGCACCCCAUCCAAGGGUUGGAAACCUGCACUCCUGAGUCAGAGCGGUGCUAUGAUCCAACUGGAAAACUGAGGCUCAGAAAAGGGCGGCCCGGGCCCAGGGUCCCCGUGGAGGGACCUGUGUGCCGCUCAGCGCGCGCGCGUCCCAUUCACCUCUCCAGACUCCAGGGGGCGCGGAAGGUGUGUGCGCCCCGGGUUUGGCGCCGGCGCCGGAGCUAGGCUCCGCUCGGCGCGCUCCUCCUGCGCACCCAGGGUGUCUGCAGAUGCCCGGCUCCCGCCCGCCUCCCCUUGCCCCGCGCUCUCUUUGGGCCCCGCGGCCGGGCACCCCGACCCAGCUCCGGUCCGCUCCCCGGUCCCUGCGCUCCAGACCGGGGAUGCUGGAAAUGCGGACUUUCGUGGGUCCGCACUCCGCACAUUCCCUUCCUCCUCCCAGCCUUGCUGUGUGACCUCAGGAAAGUAGCAGCCAGCCUCUGAGCCUCGAUUGCCGGGCCGACUUUCGGGGUGCAGGGGGAGAGCCCUGGUCACCUACCGCUGCUCCCCGACUCCCGCGUGCUGCCGGUGGC